GACGAACGCUGGCGGCGUGCUUAACACAUGCAAGUCGAACGGAAAGGCCCUGCUUUUGUGGGGUGCUCGAGUGGCGAACGGGUGAGUAACACGUGAGUAACCUGCCCUUGACUUUGGGAUAACUUCAGGAAACUGGGGCUAAUACCGGAUAGGAGCUCCUGCUGCAUGGUGGGGGUUGGAAAGUUUCGGCGGUUGGGGAUGGACUCGCGGCCUAUCAGCUUGUUGGUGGGGUGGUGGCUUACCAAGGCUUUGACGGGUAGCCGGCCUGAGAGGGUGACCGGCCACAUUGGGACUGAGAUACGGCCCAGACUCCUACGGGAGGUAGCAGUGGGGAAUAUUGCACAAUGGGCGGAAGCCUGAUGCAGCAACGCCGCGUGCGGGAUGACGGCCUUCGGGUUGUAAACCGCUUUCGCCUGUGACGAAGCGUGAGUGACGGUAAUGGGUAAAGAAGCACCGGCUAACUACGUG
rnacentral:rRNA from 1 species